AUUGAACGCUGGCGGCAUGCCUUACACAUGCAAGUCGAACGGUAACGGGCCUUCGGGUGCCGACGAGUGGCGAACGGGUGAGUAAUACAUCGGAACGUGCCCGAUCGUGGGGGAUAACGAGGCGAAAGCUUUGCUAAUACCGCAUACGAUCUACGGAUGAAAGCAGGGGACCGCAAGGCCUUGCGCGGACGGAGCGGCCGAUGGCAGAUUAGGUAGUUGGUGGGAUAAAAGCUUACCAAGCCGACGAUCUGUAGCUGGUCUGAGAGGAUGAUCAGCCACACUGGGACUGAGACACGGCCCAGACUCCUACGGGAGGCAGCAGUGGGGAAUUUUGGACAAUGGGCGCAAGCCUGAUCCAGCCAUGCCGAGUGCAGGAUGAAGGCCUUCGGGUUGUAAACUGCUUUUGUACGGAACGAAAAGCCUUCUUUUAAUACAGGAGGGUAAUGACGGUACCGUAAGAAUAAGCACCGGCUAACUACGUG
rnacentral:rRNA from 1 species